rnacentral:rRNA from 1 species
AGACAGGUGCUGCAUGGCUGUCGUCAGCUCGUGUCGUGAGAUGUUGGGUUAAGUCCGGUAACGAGCGCAACCCUCGCUGUGUGUUAUAUGUGUCACACGGGGACUGCCCGGUAUCAAGCCGGAGGAGGUGGGAUGACGUCAAGGUCAGCAUGGCCUUUAUGUCUGGGGCUACGACACACGCUACAAUGGCCAGUGCAAUAGGUUGCAAAACCGCGAGGUGGAGCCAAUCCUUAAAGCUGGUCUCAGUUCGGAUUGCAGGCUGCAACUCGCCUGCAUGAAGUCGGAGUUGCUAGUAACCGCGCGUCGGCUAUAGUGCGGUGAAUACGUUCCCGGGCCUU